CAUGGACCCACUUGAUGAAAGGAUGAGUGAAUUCUUGUCAGAGAAGUAAACAUCUAGGCCACAUGAAAAUCAAGACACACAGGUAUUGCUCAGGAGCUACUCCAAGCUUGGUGGUUCUCAGCUUUUCGGUCAUACCCAACGUGGCUAAGGAGCUACUACCAGCACAGUGCUUGGGAGUCACCCCAGUAGCUUGAGGUACCAUGAGGUGAU